rnacentral:rRNA from 1 species
GGGAAACCGGAACGAGCCUUCGGGCAGCGUAGACAGGUGCUGCAUGGCUGUCGUCAGCUCGUGUCGUGAGAUGUUGGGUUAAGUCCCGCAACGAGCGCAACCCGUGUUGCUAGUUACAAGUGUCUAGCGAGACUGCCGGUAACAAGCCGGAGGAAGGUGCGGAUGAUGUCAAGUCAGCAUGGCCUAUAUGUCCAGGGCUACACACACGCUACAAUGGCUGGUACAAAGAGAAGCGAAAGGGAGACCUGAAGCGAAUCUCAUCAAAGCCAGUCAUAGUUCGGAUUGCAGGCUGCAACUCGCCUGCAUGAAGUCGGAGUUGCUAGUAACCGCAGGUCAGCAAUACUGCGGUGAAUACGUUCCCGGGCCUUGUACACAC